rnacentral:rRNA from 1 species
CGCAAGCCUGACGGAGCAACGCCGCGUGAGGGAUGAAGGCCUCUGGGCUGUAAACCUCUUUUAUCAAGGAAGAAGAUCUGACGGUACUUGAUGAAUAAGCCACGGCUAAUUCCGUGCCAGCAGCCGCGGUAAUACGGGAGUGGCAAGCGUUAUCCGGAAUUAUUGGGCGUAAAGCGUCCGCAGGCGGUUUUACAAGUCUGUCGUUAAAGCGUGGAGCUCAACUCCAUUUCAGCGAUGGAAACUGUAAGACUCGAGUGUGGUAGGGGCAGAGGGAAUUCCCGGUGUAGCGGUGAAAUGCGUAGAUAUCGGGAAGAACACCAGUGGCGAAGGCGCUCUGCUGGGCCAUAACUGACACUCAGAGGCGAAAGCUAGGGUAGCAAAAG